rnacentral:rRNA from 1 species
CUGAUUUGCUUAAUUGCACCACAUGUGUUUUUCUUUUGAAAACAAACUUGCUAUUGGCGGUGGGCCCAGCCUGCCGCCAGAGGUCUAAACUUACAACCAAUUUUUUAUUAACUUGUCACACCAGAUUAUUACUUAAUAGUCA